GAUGAAGAACGCAGCGAAACGCGAUAUGUAAUGUGAAUUGCAGAAUUCAGUGAAUCAUCGAAUCUUUGAACGCACAUGGCGCCUUCCAGUAUCCUGGGAGGCAUGCCUGUCCGAGCGUCGUUUCAACCCUCGAGCCCCCGUGGCCCGGCGUUGGGGAUCUGCCCAGGCAGUCCCCGAAAACCAGUGGCGGACCCGUUACAGGCCCUUCCCUUGCGUAGUAGCAUUCGCCUCGCAUCGGGAGCCGGCGGGCUUCCAGCCUCUAAACCCCCAUCAAGUCCGCCCCGGCGGCACCAAGGUUGACUUCGGAUCAGGUAGGAAUACCCGCUGAACUUAAGCAUAUCAAUAAGCGGAGGA
rnacentral:misc_RNA from 1 species